GAUGAACGCUGGCGGCGUGCCUAAUACAUGCAAGUCGAGCGAACAGAUGAGGAGCUUGCUCCUCUGACGUUAGCGGCGGACGGGUGAGUAACACGUGGAUAACCUACCUAUAAGACUGGGAUAACUUCGGGAAACCGGAGCUAAUACCGGAUAAUAUAUUGAACCGCAUGGUUCAAUAGUGAAAGACGGUUUUGCUGUCACUUAUAGCUGGAUCCGCGCCGCAUUAGCUAGUUGGUAAGGUAACGGCUUACCAAGGCAACGAUGCGUAGCCGACCUGAGAGGGUGAUCGGCCACACUGGAACUGAGACACGGUCCAGACUCCUACGGGAGGCAGCAGUAGGGAAUCUUCCGCAAUGGGCGAAAGCCUGACGGAGCCACGCCGCGUGAGUGAUGAAGGUCUUCGGAUCGUAAAACUCUGUUAUUAGGGAAGAACAAAUGUGUAAGUAACUAUGCACGUCUUGACGGUACCUAAUCAGAAAGCCACGGCUAACUACGUG
rnacentral:rRNA from 1 species